GGGUCAGUAGGUUGGUCGUGCCACCGGUACGUACUGGUCUCACUGAUUCCUUCUUCCUGAAGAACCGUAAUGCCAUUAAUUUGGUGUUGCGGGGAAACAGGACUGUUACUUUGAAAAAAUUAGAGUGUUUAAAGCAAGCUAACGCUUGAAUACAUUAGCAUGGAAUAAUCAAAUAGGACGAUCGAUCCUAUUUUGUUGGUUUCUAGGAUUGACGUA
rnacentral:rRNA from 1 species